AAGAAGAGAUGCAGAAAGUCACUCCGAAGCCCCGGCCAGGGGAGCUGCAAGCACCCACGUACGCGACAGGGUCAGAGGAGAGAGCUAGCUGCACACAACUUCAGGGAGAAUUUGUUUCCCUGAUGACGUAACCAGUCUAUUUGUUGAAGACCCUGGGUUGUCUGUCCUACAGAAGGCCCCAUUCUGGAUGUUUGUUGAUUAUAUUCCCUUGGGGCCGUGAGACACAUUCCUGGUUCCCUGUAUUUCCAAGAGAAUCUGCAGCCCCUGAAGUAGGAGCUCUUCCUGGAUGGAGAAAGAAGACAGGUCGCACACAGGAAGCAAUUGCCAAAGCUAUUGUUUUCUUUCGUUUGGUUUUUUCUUAAGUAUUAUAGGCUAACACCUUUGCUUUGGAAGGUAAGAAAAGUGUCUCAUUAAAGUCUAUCUAUAUAGGACAAUUUCUAUCUCCAGAUAAUGUUUCUGUCUUAAAUAAACCCAGUGGAAUGUUUUACAGCGGAACAAGGGCAAGGCCAGACUCAGCGGCUCAUGCCUGUAAUCCCAGCACUUUGGGAGGCUGAGGCAGGAAGAUUCCUUGAGCCCAGGAGUUGGAGACCACCCCUGAGCAACGUAACAAGACACUGUAUCUUAAAAAAAAAAAAAUAGAAAUUAGCCAGUUCAGUGGUUUGCACUACUCAGCACCAGCUACUCAGGAGGCUGAGGGAGGAGAACUGCUU
rnacentral:lncRNA from 1 species